CUGCUACUCCCUCCAUCCGAAAAUAUUUGUCAUCAAAAUGAAUAAGAAGGGAUGUAUCUACAACUAAAAUACGUUUAGAUACAUCUCCUUUUAUUUAUUUUGAUGAUAAGUAUUUUCAGACAGAGGGAGUAAGUC
rfam:Triticum urartu cultivar G1812 contig1173342, whole genome shotgun sequence.